rnacentral:rRNA from 1 species
CAGUUAAAAAGCUCGUAGUCGGAUUUCAGUAUUAGGCCCUUCUUCCAAUACGGUUGCUAGUGGUCUUUACUUCCUUAACAGAAUCUUUCAUCUCAUUAAUUUGGGGUGUUUGGGGCCUGUUUCUUUUACUUUGAGAAAAUUAGAGUGUUCAAAGCGGGUUUUCGCCUGGAUAUUACUCUUGGAAUAAUAAUAUAGGACUUUGGUUCUUUUUUGUUGGUGACUUAGAACCGAAGUAAUGAUUGAUAGGGACAGUUGGGGUCAUUCGUACUAUGAAGCGAGAGGUGAAAUUCAUGGACCUUUGUAUGACGAACUACUGCGAAAGCAUUUGACUAGGAUGUUCCCGUUGAUCAAGAACGAAAGUUGGGGGAUCGAAGACGAUCAGAUACCGUCGUAGUCUCAACCAUAAACUAUGCCAGCUAGGGAUUGGAGGAAGAUCAUUUUACGUCUCCUUCAGCACCUUAUGAGAAAUCAAAGCAUUUGGGUUCCGGGGGGAGUAUGGUUCGCAAGGCUG